rnacentral:rRNA from 1 species
UACGGAGGGUGCAAGCGUUGUCCGGAUUUAUUGGGUUUAAAGGGUGCGUAGGCGGCUUUUUAAGUCAGUGGUGAAAUCCUAGUGCUUAACACUAGAACGGCCAUUGAUACUGGGAAGCUUGAGUGCAGGAGAGGUAAGCAGAAUUUAUGGUGUAGCAGUGAAAUGCUUAGAUACCAUCAAGAACACCGAUAGCGAAGGCAGCUUACUAGGCUUUAACUGACGCUGAGGCACGAAAGCGUGGGGAGCAAAC